rnacentral:lncRNA from 1 species
AGGGAGGCCUAAGAGGUAUUGGGGAGAGGUGAUUAGGCAUGACAUGGCUACAAUGCGGGUUUAUGAGGACAUGACCCUGGAUAGGAAAGUAUGGAGGUCUAGUAUAAGGGUUGUGGGAUAUGGGCCCCUAGAGUUCUUCAUACUCCUCACCCGGGGUUGGGUGAGGCGUAUUUAUAGUUUUUAUGUUUUUUUAUUUUAGGUUUUUAUGUUUAGAUAAUUAUUUACGCUAUUUAUGUUGAAGUUACUAAUNNN